GCAAAGGAACAGAGAUUUAACAACACAAUAAACUCGCCUGUAUUGUUUGUUGAAGUGUAGCACAUUUGGAGACGUGCUUCGGUUUAAAAGGUGGUUUGGUGUAGUACUCUAGACAAGAGUUCAGAAGAGGAACCGAAGAAGCCAAGGCAGUCAUGAAAUGUGAACAUCUGUGUCGACAAGUGUUACAUGUAUGCGCUGCAUUGAAGAGCUCAACUUCCUGUAGAUACAAGAGGUAGAGAUACACUGGGAUCUGACAGUAAGAGAUAACCUGCCAUCAGCGAGCCGUCUAUUUUUAACAGCAGUUGUCAUUUGAGGAGGUGGAGCUGAGAGUCAUUUUCAGGCAUUCACAGGCAGAUUGUUGGAAGCUCCUUGGGAAAAAGGUUGGACAAAAUCUUACACACAGUUACAUCUUAAAGGCUGCGUGCAGCUCGGGAGGUUAAAAGACAGGUUUACAAAAAUACAGAGCAACAACGACAACAACAAGUGGUAAUGAGCCAAUCACAAAAGAGAUACCGCGACUGCUUCUGCUAUAAUUGUGACAUCCUACAUCUUCUUUGCUGCAUUGCCUGUAUCCGAUUAACACCAACACCUGUACCUCCUAACAGACAUCGAAAAGGCCGGAACAGUGCACAUUCUUCCCCCGUGUUUAUCCCGAGGUGCAGCCCGUUGGCCACACAUUUUAAUAACACUCCCUGUGCCAAAAUAUAUUUCACUCAAACUCUUAUAAGUUCCAAGAGUAAGCUCAAAAGAGGUGAAGUAUCUUGGCAGACCAUAGAGCAAAAUGCCAUGCAGUCAUAUGCAGCCCAGGGGAUGAAGUGAUUGAUCUAUGACCUCGGACUCGGAUAAGAUAUUGUGCUGAAGAGUGCGGGGGAGGACACGGAUAGUGGAAAAGGGACGAGCAUGAGUCAGUAACAGAGUCUGCGAAAAGCUGUGGGAGCAGAGGAAGUGUUAACAACAUCAC